rnacentral:rRNA from 1 species
CCUUCGGGAGGCAGCAGUGGGGGAUAUUGCACAAUGGAGGAAACUCUGAUGCAGCGACGCCGCGUGAGGGAAGACGGUUUUCGGAUUGUAAACCUCUGUCUUCAGGGACGAACAAAUGACGGUACCUGAGGAGGAAGCUCCGGCUAACUACGUGCCAGCAGCCGCGGUAAUACGUAGGGAGCAAGCGUUGUCCGGAAUUACUGGGUGUAAAGGGAGCGUAGGCGGGAAUGUAAGUUGAAUGUCAAAUCUACCGGCUCAACUGGUAGUCGCGUUCAAAACUGCGUUUCUUGAGUGAAGUAGAGGCAGGCGGAAUUCCUAGUGUAGCGGUGAAAUGCGUAGAUAUUAGGAGGAACACCUGUGGCGAAGGCGGCCUGCUGGGCUUUUACUGACGCUGAGGCUCGAAAGUGUGGGUAGCAAACAGGAUUAGAUACCCCGGUAGUCC